CCCUUAGAUGUCCUGGGCCGCACGCGCGCUACACUGAGUGUCUGAGAUACGAGUCUGCCUGGUCCGGCAAGGUCUAGGUAAUCGCUAAAAGACACAUCAUGCUUGGGAUAGAUUAUUGCAAAUAUUAAUCUUGAACGAGGAAUUCCUAGUAAGCGCAAGUCAACAGCUUGCGUUGAUUACGUCCCUGCCCUUUGUACACACCGCCCGUCGCUACUACUGAUUGGAUGUUUAAGCGAGGUUCUCGAACUGCUAGCGACUUAGCUUCGGUGAGGUCGCAGUGUGGGAAGUGAACCUAGCUUUGGGGUCUAGAGGAAGUAAAAGGCGUAACA
rnacentral:rRNA from 1 species